rnacentral:rRNA from 1 species
GCCGAUUGUGUGGAAGACACCUCACGAAAGCGUAACUGACGCUGAGCACGAAGCGUGGGGGAUCGAACAGGAUAGAUACCCUGGUAGUCACGCAGUAAACGAUGAUGACUAACCCGCCGGCGGCAUACAGUCGUGACCAAGCGAAAGCGAUAAGUCAUCCCACCUGGGGAGUACGACCGCAAGGUUGAAACUCAAAGGAAUUGACGGGGGCCCGCACAAGCGGAGGAACAUGUGGUUUAAUUCGAUGAUACGCGAGGAACCUUACCCGGGCUCGAACGGCAGAGGAAGGAUGCGGAGACGCAAACGCCCUUCGGGGCUUCUGUCGAGGUGCUGCAUGGUUGUCGUCAGCUCGUGCCGUGAGGUGUCGGCUUAAGUGCCAUAACGAGCGCAACCCUUGCCGUCAGUUACCAGCACGCAAUGGUGGGGACUCUGGCGGGACUGCCACCGCAAGGUGAGAGGAAGGGGGGGAUGACGUCAAAUCAGCACGGCCCUUACGUCCGGGGCGACACACGUGUUACAAUGGUGGGUACAGAAGGAAGCUACCUGGCGACAGGAUGCAGAUCUUUAAAACCCAUCUCAGUUCGGAUCGGAGUCUGCAACCCGACUCCGUGAAGCUGGAUUCGCUAGUAAUCGCGCAUCAGCCAUGGCGCGGUGAAUACGUUCCCGGGCCUUGUACACACCGCCCGUCAAGCCAUGAAAGCCGGGGGCGCCUGAAGACCGUGACCGCGAGGAGCGGCCUAGGGCGAAACUGGUAAUUGGGGCUAAGUCUUUACAAGGUAACCGUA